AGUGAACGCUGGCGGCGUGCUUAACACAUGCAAGUCGAACGAGAACGGAUUAUAGCUUGCUAUAAUUGUCAGCUAAGUGGCGCACGGGUGAGUAAUAUAUAGUUAACCUGCCCUCAAGAAAGGAAUAACAGUUGGAAACGACUGCUAAUGCCCUAUAUGCCUUUAAUACAUAAGUAUGCAAGGGAAACGCUUUAGUGCUUGAGGAUGGGACUGUAUGGUAUCAGUUAGUUGGUGGGGUAAUGGCUCACCAAGACUAUGACGCCUAACUGGUUUGAGAGGAUGAUCAGUCACACUGGAACUGAGACACGGUCCAGACUCCUACGGGAGGCAGCAGUGGGGAAUAUUGCACAAUGGACGAAAGUCUGAUGCAGCAACGCCGCGUGGAGGAUGACACAUUUCGGUGCGUAAACUCCUUUUAUAUAGGAAGAUAAUGACGGUACUAUAUGAAUAAGCACCGGCUAACUCCGUGCCAGCAG
rnacentral:rRNA from 1 species